GUAGGUGAACCUGCGGAAGGAUCAUUGUCGAUACCUACCCAACAGAGAGACCCGCGAACAUGUUGCAUAAUCAUCGGGGGUGAGGGCGUGGGGGUGUGAGCCCCUUCCUCCUUGACCCUUGUAAGGUUGGCCCGCGAACUGUCGUGGCAUCCGACCUAAAACCAAAACCACCGGCGCGGUUGGCGCCAAGGAAUUCACAACGGAAUGGGCGUGUACAAAUCACCGUGCCUUUGGCGUGGUGUGUGUUCGUCUUAAAUCCGAAACUCAUUAACGACUCUCGGCAACGGAUAUCUCGGCUCUCGCAUCGAUGAAGAACGUAGCGAAAUGCGAUACUUGGUGUGAAUUGCAGAAUCCCGUGAACCAUCGAGUCUUUGAACGCAAGUUGCGCCCCAGGCCAUCGGGCCGAGGGCACGCCUGCCUGGGCGUCACGUAUCGUGUCGCCCCCCCUUCCGUCGUCCUCGUGGUGGCGGAGCUCGGGUCGGAGAUUGGCCCCCCGUGUCGCUAUUUUGAGGUGCGGUCGGCCCAAAGACAAGUCCCCCUGUGUGGCGAGCGUCACGACGAGUGGUGGUUGAAGCCACUUUGCCAUUAGUUCGGACGUCGUGUGCGAUUUUCGCUCUCAUUGGGGCUCUAGCAAUAACCCUGAUCAUGUGUUGUCUGAGGAUGGCAUUUUCGACCGCGACCCCAGGUCAGGCGGGGCUACCCGCUGAG
rnacentral:rRNA from 1 species